AACGCCUUCUGCAGGAACUGGCAUCCCAAGAGCCCCAGAAUCCCUCUCAUGCCAAGAGCACAGAAGUAAAUAAGGCAGCCAGAGGGGGAGUUCAGCCAGCAGCUGCCACUGCAAACACGCAGCCAGCCCAGAAGGAAGCAGGAGGCUCUGAGAACACGAGCCACAAAGCAGAGGCCAGGAUCUCCUUCACAGUGUCUGGAGAGGAUGUUUGAGAAGAACUCUUGGCCAAGGAUGGAUUUCUAACCUCAGUGCCCGGAGCCCAUGUUACAGGGGAAAAGGAAAAUGCAGCUUGCAGAAAGGGACAUUUACAGUAUCUGAGGUAAGUUCUGGCAAGACCAAGUUAGGAAGGCCUGAGGAGUUAAAUGAACUGAAAAGGUAUUUAUGGGAAGGGAAGUAAUCAGCUUAACAGAAUGAAGAGGGGAGCAAGACCUGUGGACAGAUUUGAUUGCCAGGAACAGAGCCCAGCUGCCUUUCACAUCCCAGACAAACACAGUUUGCCUUGCAAUUGCUUUCAUUUUAUAAAAGCCACCAUCUGUAGAGAGAGGAAGCAGAAGGUCGAAGUGGAGGUAACAUAACCUCUUCCCUAUGCCAGUCCCAAAAUUUAAUCCUGCAAAAGCAGCAACCUGUAGACCAUGUAGGAGGCAAUUGCCUGUAUUUUGUGACAUCUGUUCUAGUUUCACUUGAAUAGAUAAUGCCAGACAGGUGAAACAGAGAAGUUAGAGGAAUGACUACAGAAGUGCAGAAAAAUAAAAAUGUUCUUAAAGGAUUGUGGGAGGCACCUAGUGGUACUGAUGCACUUAAAGAAUGUUAAUUGCCAAGUAGAUAACUGGAAUUUGAGAGUUUGAAAUGUGCUUAUUUUUAAAGGUCGUGGAAGGUCAGCUCUAAGUUCUUCCUUUCUCACUGGGAAGGUGCAAUGUCUCACAAAUUAUAGUACACAGAAAGAAAGCAGAGUUGAGCUGUUUUGUGCUUCCCAGUGUGCAUUUUUUGUGGUGUCAUUACCGAGGCUGUUAUCUGAAAA